UACGUAGGGACCAAGCGUUGUUCGGAUUUACUGGGCGUAAAGCGCGUGUAGGCGGCUUUGCAAGUCGGGUGUGAAAGCCCUCAGCUCAACUGAGGAAGUGCGCCCGAAACUGCAGAGCCUGAGUGCCGGAGAGGGUGGCGGAAUUCCCCAAGUAGAGGUGAAAUUCGUAGAUAUGGGGAGGAACACCGGUGGCGAAGGCGGCCACCUGGACGGUUACUGACGCUGAGACGCGAAAGCGUGGGGAGCGAACAGG
rnacentral:rRNA from 1 species